GACGAACGCUGGCGGCGUGCUUAACACAUGCAAGUCGAACGAAGAGCGACGGAAGCUUGCUUCUAUCAAUCUUAGUGGCGAACGGGUGAGUAACGCGUAAUCAACCUGCCCUUCAGAGGGGGACAACAGUUGGAAACGACUGCUAAUACCGCAUACGAUCUAAUCUCGGCAUCGAGGAUGGAUGAAAGGUGGCCUCUACAUGUAAGCUAUCACUGAAGGAGGGGAUUGCGUCUGAUUUGCUAGUUGGAGGGGUAACGGCCCACCAAGGCGAUGAUCAGUAGCCGGUCUGAGAGGAUGAACGGCCACAUUGGGACUGAGACACGGUCCAGACUCCUACGGGAGGCAGCAGUGGGGAAUCUUCCGCAAUGGACGAAAGUCUGACGGAGCAACGCCGCGUGAGUGAUGACGGCCUUCGGGUUGUAAAGCUCUGUUAAUCGGGACGAAAGGCCUUCUUGCGAAUAGUGAGAAGGAUUGACGGUACCGGAAGAGAAAGCCACGGCUAACUACGUG
rnacentral:rRNA from 1 species